GCUUCUUGUAUAUGUGUAUGUGUAGUGGUGGAUCUAAUUGCUCGCUGUAUAUGCAUUUGAGCUCUUCAAUCAAUCAAAGAACAGAGAUUGAAGAUGUUGGACAGACUAUUAAGGCGAGGAUUUAGCUCCAAAUGCAAAUCGUCGAUUAAGCUGACGAGGACUCGAAUCGAUGUGCUGCGGAGGAGGAAGGAGGUGACGCAGAGGUUUCUGAGGAGUAAUUUGGCUCAACUACUUGCUAAUGGCCUCGAUAUCAAUGCCUAUGGAAGGGUCAGAAAACUGAUGCUCUGCUUUCCACUCAAUUUCGUCUUUUGUUGUUUUGCUUUGAUUUUAUUUUUAUUUUUUGAUUUUUUGUAUAGAGUGUUGCUCCUAGAAAAUAGAAAACAGUUGCAGGAUACAACAAACUCACUCUAAAUAUUAGUUGUAUGAAAUUUUUGCAUCAUGGAAAAUAAAUAAUCGCAUAAAUUCCAACUACUGAAAGAUUUACCUUUGGAAGUCCACCAAUCCCCAACGCAAUAUCCAGAGAAAAAGAUCCUGUAGACACCAUUGGAACCUGUUUAGGAGAGAGAGACCGACCCAACCACAUGACAGAUCCCUUUCCAAAUGAGGUAGUGAUCUGAUCCACUGCUUGUUGUAGGGACAGAUCUUUUUUAGGCAAAUUCUCGUCAUUAGAGUCACUUUCAUCUGAUUUAGAUCUCCUUUUACCUUCAAACAAGCAUAAGACGAGAUUUGGUAUCUCUCCUAUUAGCACAAGCUAAAUCAGGGGUACAAGAUUUCAAGGGAGAACAGAACAUAUUGCUUUCUUGUGUCUAGUCAUACUCCAAACAAUGAAUAGUUCUAUGAAAUAAGGUAUUCUACAUAAAAAUCACUGAAUAAGCAAAAGGAUUCAAUAGGAAGGUUUGCAAGGGCACAUGACUUUGGUAUAGCAAACUUUAAGGAGAAAUGUGCUCUAUAAUAACACUAGAUAAGGAAACUAGGGAAAAGUAGAGGAAGUAGGCACCCACAAGUUAGAUGAUGAAAUUUAGAAGUUGAAAAUUUACCGCUUUUUAAGAAUAGUAUCAAUAAGUAGACAUAGAAUACGAAUAGUAUCAAUAAGCAGGCAUCCCAAAAUGUUAGCUUUUACUAAUUUUGUGUACUGUUUAUUGUGAAAUUCAUGGAGUUUUGGGGUUUUAUUAUGAGAGUAGGCUACUAGUUGGUUAAUUUGUAUGAUUUCUAUGAUAUAUAUAUAUAUAUAUAUAUGUUCAAUGAUUACUUUGUGUUUGAUAGAACAUGGUCUCGUUGGGUAUACAAAACUUGUGCAUAGAAGCUGUUUGAGGAUUUGUCAAAGAGACUACUACUUCAUUGGCUCCAAGGUUUGACAUAGAUAUAAAUUUUGAACUUGGUAUAUGAUUUGUUUGUUAGUAAUUCUCCAUAUGACAUAGAUAAAUGAGCUUGGGUACAAGUGUCAAGUAUGGGCAUGUGUCUGAGUGCCGGAUUCAACUAAUUCUCAUGUUGAGGACACCAAGAUAAGGCUAUAUUUCAUAUUUCUUAAAUACUUAAGAGCAUUAGUUUAAUACCCUUACUCAAGUGUCAAGUGUCCAACAUGAGUACUUCACAAAUUUAGAAGAGUCCAUGGAAAUGUUUUGAGAAUUUGCUUGCCCCUUCCUAAUACCUCUAUGUACUAACACUGCAGAUGCUUUUGCAUUAGGUCCAAUCACCCUGAACACAACUGUACUUAGUGGCAACCUCUGUUUUUCCAAAUUUCACCCUCACAAGAAAAUUACCAAAGACAACUCUUCAUGGAGAAACGAGAUAACCACAACACAAUCCAAAUAAGGCAAAUCAAAUUUGAGAAUAUGACUCAAUUUUCAGAUUUCAAUAAGACUACGAUAUUAGUUUCAUUUGCAAGCUAUUCCACCAUUAGUUUGCUUAUUCCAGAUACAAUAAAUGGUGUCACAGAGAAGAUGGGCUUCUUAUGGUAGGCCUUGUUGCUUUGAAAAGGUAGAGUCAUAACAAAUCAAUUUUAGGCAUCAUGACAACAAAGUUGCAGCUUGCAACUUCUUUGCUUGUGGUAUAUUAUGCCACAACGUAGCCAAAGUUAAGACCAAGUUUUGUGCACUGUGAUCGAGCAUGAUGCAAACUGCGGAGCUUAUAAACAAGAACAGAAAAUUUAGAAUUUCUUAUUGGGCCAAUAGGAUUUUACAUAACCGAAUUCUGGAUUGAAUUCCAAACUUUAUUUAUGUUUAUUCUAAAUUAAUAUGAAACUGGUUUGUUUUCAUUUGUUUCCAGCUUCCCUAUGUUUCACAAGUUGAAAAUCUUCUACAACUAUAUGUGUGUGCUUUAGUACUUGUUUAAUAUCCUUUUAGAAAUAAAUAUUAUGUUGAUUUAGCAAUCAGGCUCUAAAGGGGGCAGUGCACAUGCCAAUCAUUUUCUGGGAAUAAGAUUAGUAAGCAGUAGUUUUUCUUUAUUUGAAUGGUCUAUACACAAAACAAAUGAUUGCUUAUACCAAGGAUGUUCUCAUUUUGAAUUUUUGAUGGAUCUUUAUAGUUUUCUACCAUUUUGAUGAAUUCUUGGAAAUUAUCAUCCUCUAUUGAUUAAUGCUUCUUUUUUUCUUCCUUAUCCAUGAUUGAUGUGUUUCUAAUGCACAAUUUUUUAUUUAUUUUUUAUUGUAUGAACAUAUUGUACAAAUUGCCCAUGGUCCUGUGUCUGUUAUUGUGUAUGGAGACCAAGACAAACUAGCAUUGCUUGCCUAUCCUGAUUUAGCUCCAAAUCCUAAUUCUUAGAUUUGUUCCUUCCUAUUUCUUAUGGUUAAACUUGAUUCUUACACUUAGCAGUUUUUGUGUUUCAUUGUUGUUGUUUUCUUGUUUUGGUUUUUGGCAUACAUCUUCAAUAUAAUAGUGCUUGCUACUUUUUGAGUAGAUAUCUUCAAUAUCAUUGGUUGAGUCAACAUUUUUAUAUUAUAAUCAACCCUUGUUAUGAGGAAAGAAAAGGCUUACUUUGGAAAAUGCUCUUAAUGUGGAAUUUAACAAAGCUUAUAGAUGGUGCUGGAGAUGCAAAUGUGGAGACAUCUUUGGUUGAAGCUAGUAAUCUUAGUUGUUCUCAGGGUGCUGCAGUGAUAAACCUUGACCAUUGCAUAUAUUAUGAUACUCAUAAGCACUCAUUGAUGACAUGUUUUCUAUUUUUCUUUAUCAGGAAUCAUCUAUCAUACAUUCUAAUGCAAACUUGGGAGUUCAUGGACUUUGCUAAACCUAUCAGGACCAGGAGAUUGUAUUGAGGCCCAAUGUCUAGUUUUGUCGUUGAUCUAUAGUAUCCAUGCAAGUGGAUGUCUGAUUAUAAUUGUUCAUUUUUUAUUGUUGUCUUUGAGGGUAUUUAAAGCAUUUAGUUCCCCCUCCCAGAAUUACUGACUGGUUAUGGAUAAGUUCUUUUACUGAUAGGGUUCGGUGUUUAUUUAUUUAGGCAUUUUAACAUCUUUAUCCAUCUGCUUCUUUAGAUUUGCCGAGUUGAGGAUAUCCUUGUUGAAGGCUGUAUAGAAGGAUUCGUUAUUCAUUUCAUAGGGCAAGAACUAUAACUAUUGAUUCUCUUGGAACAAUUAGUGCAUCGGGAAUGGUGUCAAUUUGCAAUGCUGGUGAAGGCAGGCUAGUGUGUGUAUGUUGCUGCUGUUGAGAGUUAAUUUAGUUGGUGAAGAUGCUAGGAUUGAUCAAAUGCAUGGCAAAUCAAUUGAAGUGCUUUGGGAACUGCAGCGUGACAUCCCUUCUCAUAUUCAAUUAUUGUAAUAAUUAUUGUAAUUUAGUUGGUUACAUAUUUUAAUCUUUGUUUUAAAUGGAAUUCAAUUAUUAUUUGAUGAUU